AGGUAGCUUAACCUUCGGGGGGGCGCUUACCACUUUGUGAUUCAUGACUGGGGUGAAGUCGUAACAAGGUAACCGUAGGGGAACCUGCGGUUGGAUCACCUCCUUACCUUAAAGAAGC
rnacentral:rRNA from 1 species